GCAGCAGCCGCGGGAAUACGGAGGGUGCAAGCGUUAAUCGGAAUUACUGGGCGUAAAGCGCACGCAGGCGGUCUGACAAGUCAGAUGUGAAAUCCCCGGGCUUAACCUGGGAACUGCAUUUGAAACUGUCAGGCUGGAGUCUUGUAGAGGGGGGUAGAAUUCCAGGUGUAGCGGUGAAAUGCGUAGAGAUCUGGAGGAAUACCGGUGGCGAAGGCGGCCCCCUGGACAAAGACUGACGCUCAGGUGCGAAAGCGUGGGGAGCAAACAGGAUUAGAUACCCGAGUAGUCCCUGUCUCUUAUAU
rnacentral:rRNA from 1 species